rnacentral:rRNA from 1 species
UACGUAGGUGGCAAGCGUUGUCCGGCAUUAUUGGUCGUAAAGCGCGCGCAGGUGGUUUAAUAAGUCUGAUGUAAAAGCCCACGGCUCAACCGUGGAAGGUCAUUGGAAACUGGAAAACUUGAGUGCAGAAGAGGAAAGUGGAAUUCCAUGUGUAGCGGUGAAAUGCGCAGAGAUAUGGAGGAACACCAGUGGCGAAGGCGACUUUCUGGUCUGUAACUGACGCUGAUGUGCGAAAGCGUGGGGAUCAAACAGG